rnacentral:rRNA from 1 species
GCGUUGUCCGGAAUCACUGGGCGUAAAGAGCGCGUAGGCGGUCUUGUACAUCCGUCGUGAAAGCUCUCGGCUCAACCGAGAGAGGCCGGCGGAGAUGGCGAGACUAGAGGGCGGUAGAGGCAGGUAGAAGUCCCGAAGGAGUGGUGAAAUGCGUAGAUAUCGGGAGGAAUACCAGUGGCGAAGGCGGCCUGCUGGGCCGUUCCUGACGCUGAGGCGCGAAAGCUAG